AUCGAACGCUGGCGGCAGGCCUAACACAUGCAAGUCGAGCGGAGCGGCGGACGGGUGAGUACUGCCUAGUAAUCUACCUGGUAGUGGGCGAUAACGUCCGGAAACGGGCGCUAAUAACGCAUACUAUCAGAGGAGCCUAGGUCGGAUGAGCUAGUUGGAGGGGUAAUGGCUUAACAAGGCGACGAUCCGUAACCGGUCUGAGAGGAUGAUCGGUAACACUGGAACUGAGACAAGGUCCAGACUCCGACGGGAGGCAGCAGUGGGGAAUAUUGGGCAAUGGGCGAAAGCCUGAUCCAGCCAUGCCGCGUGUGUGAAGAAGGUCUUCGGAUUGUAAAUCACUUUUGUUUGAGAGGCGUUACCAACAGAGUAAGCAACGGCUAACUUCGUGCCAGCAGCCGCGGUAAUUC
rnacentral:rRNA from 1 species